rnacentral:antisense_RNA from 1 species
CUUGAUCGAGCCGAGCCAGAGCGGCCGGUCGGCGGGACGGUCCUGCCCGUAGGUGGCGAGGAGCGCCUGCGCCUC